AACGAACGCUGGCGGCAGGCUUAACACAUGCAAGUCGAACGCCCCGCAAGGGGAGUGGCAGACGGGUGAGUAACGCGUGGGAACGUGCCCUUCGCUUCGGAAUAUUCCCGGGAAACUGGGAGCAAUGCCGGAUACGCCGAAUUGGGAAAGAUUUAUCGGCGAAGGAUCGGCCCGCGUUAGAUUAGGUAGUUGGUGGGGUAAUGGCCUACCAAGCCUACGAUCUAUAGCUGGUCUGAGAGGAUGAUCAGCCACACUGGGACUGAGACACGGCCCAGACUCCUACGGGAGGCAGCAGUGGGGAAUCUUGGACAAUGGGCGCAAGCCUGAUCCAGCCAUGCCGCGUGAGUGAAGAAGGCCUUAGGGUUGUAAAACUCUUUCGCCGGUGAAGAUAAUGACGGUAGCCGGAGAAGAGGCCCCGGCUAACUUCGUGCCAGCAGCCGCGGUAAGAC
rnacentral:rRNA from 1 species